AUGUGCAUGCCGAUNAGUGUUUGGUUGAGUAUCGAGUACACUUUUGCACGCGAUGCUACACGCGACUCGCAGGUCACCAGCUACCCGGGGCACACACUGCCCUUANGCUUUCCUACAUACCUCGACUACAUUUUC
rnacentral:sRNA from 1 species